CAAUAGCGUAUAUUAAAGUUGUUGCAGUUAAAAAGCUCGUAGUUGAAUUUUUGCUUGCCGCCGAUGUCGGAACUUCCGUACGUUCGGCGGCGUGCAUCCUUGGGUGGAACCUGUGUGGCAUUAGGUUGUCGUGCAGGGGAUGCUCAUCGUUUACUGUGAAAAAAUUAGAGUGUUCAAAGCAGGCUUACGCCGUUGAAUAUAUUAGCAUGGAAUAAUAAGAUAGGACCUUGGUACUAUUUUGUUGGUUUGCGCACCGAGGUAAUGAUUAACAGGGACAGUUGGGGGUAUUCGUAUUCCAUUGUCAGAGGUGAAAUUCUUGGAUUUCUGGAAGACGAACUACUGCGAAAGCAUUGACCAAGGAUGUUUUCAUUAA
rnacentral:rRNA from 1 species